rnacentral:rRNA from 1 species
GCUCUGUAAGCGUAUACCAAAGUUGUUGCAGUUAAAACGCUCGUAGUCGGAUUGGCGUCUGACUUGGGUCGUCCUCGCGGACGCUCUCAGGUUGGGCGCCUUUGUGGAUGGGAGUCUGGUGGUGCUUAAUUGGAUCGCCAGGCUGCCGCCACCGUUUACUGUGAAAAAAUUAGAGUGUUCAAAGCAGGCGAUUGCCUGAA